CCCCCUGUGAGAAUGCCCUACAGUUCCCCGCCCGGGAACAAGGAGCUGGUAUCAGGCACAUUUUAUUAAGCCCAUGACACCUUGCUAAGCCACACCCUCAAGGGAACUCAGCAGUGAUAAACAUUAAGCCAUAAGUGAAAACUUGACUUAGUCAAAGCUAACAGGGCCGGUAAAACUCGUGCCAGCCACCGCGGUUAUACGAGAGGCCCAAGUUGACAGUUGCCGGCGUAAAGAGUGGUUAAAGAAUUAAAAAAUACUAAAGCCGAACACCCUCAAAGCAGUUAUACGCACCCGAAGGUUAGAAGCCCUAUUACGAAGGUAGCUUUAUCUCUCCUGAACCCACGAGAGCUAUGGUACAAACUGGGAUUAGAUACCCCACUAUGCCUAGCCCUAAACAUUGAUAGUACUAUACACCCACUAUCCGCCUGGGAACUACGAGCAUCAGCUUGAAACCCAAAGGACUUGGCGGUGCUUUAGAUCCACCUAGAGGAGCCUGUUCUAGAACCGAUAACCCCCGUUCAACCUCACCUUUUCUUGUUUUCCCCGCCUAUAUACCGCCGUCGUCAGCUUACCCUGUGAAGGUCUAAUAGUAAGCAAAAUUGGCACAGCCCAAAACGUCAGGUCGAGGUGUAGCGUAUGGAAAGGGAAGAAAUGGGCUACAUUCUCUAUAACUAGUGAAUACGGACGAUGCACUGAAAAAACAUCUGAAGGAGGAUUUAGCAGUAAGCAGGAAAUAGAGCGUUCCGCUGAAACCGGCCCUGAAGCGCGCACACACCGCCCGUCACUCUCCCCAAGCUCAUAAACUAAUUAACUAAAACCCUAGAAUUGCAAAGGGGAGGCAAGUCGUAACAUGGUAAGUGUACCGGAAGGUGCACUUGGAAAAAC
rnacentral:ncRNA from 1 species